UGGAGCAUGUGUUAAUUCGAAGCAACGCGAAGAACCUUACCAGGCCUUGACAUGCAGAGAACUUUACCAGAGAUGGAUUGGUGCCUUCGGGAACUCUGACACAGGUGCUGCAUGGCUGUCGUCAGCUCGUGUCGUGAGAUGUUGGGUUAAGUCCCGUAACGAGCGCAACCCCUACCUUUAGUUGCCAUCAGGUAAUGCUGGGGACUCUAAAGGAACUGCCUACGCAAGUAGUGAGGAAGGCGGGGAUGACGUCAAAUCAGCACGGCCCUUACGGCCUGGGCUACACACGUGCUACAAUGGUCGGUACAAAGGGUUGCCAAGCCGCGAGGUGGAGCUAAUCCCAUAAAACCGAUCGUAGUCCGGAUCGCAGUCUGCAACUCGACUGCGUGAAGUCGGAAUCGCUAGUAAUCGUGAAUCAGAAUGUCACGGUGAAUACGUUCCCGGGCCUU
rnacentral:rRNA from 1 species